AGAGUUUGAUCCUGGCUCAGAUUGAACGCUGGCGGCAUGCCUUACACAUGCAAGUCGAACGGCAGCACGGGAGCAAUCCUGGUGGCGAGUGGCGAACGGGUGAGUAAUACAUCGGAACGUGCCCAGUAGUGGGGGAUAGCCCGGCGAAAGCCGGAUUAAUACCGCAUACGACCUGAGGGUGAAAGCGGGGGAUCGCAAGACCUCGCGCUAUUGGAGCGGCCGAUGUCGGAUUAGCUAGUUGGUGGGGUAAAGGCUCACCAAGGCAACGAUCCGUAGCUGGUCUGAGAGGACGACCAGCCACACUGGGACUGAGACACGGCCCAGACUCCUACGGGAGGCAGCAGUGGGGAAUUUUGGACAAUGGGCGCAAGCCUGAUCCAGCCAUGCCGCGUGCGGGAAGAAGGCCUUCGGGUUGUAAACCGCUUUUGUCAGGGAAGAAACGCGCUGGGAUAAUACCUUGGCGUAAUGACGGUACCUGAAGAAUAAGCACCGGCUAACUACGUGCCAGCAGCCGCGGUAAUACGUAGGGUGCAAGCGUUAAUCGGAAUUACUGGGCGUAAAGCGUGCGCAGGCGGUCAUACAAGACAGAUGUGAAAUCCCCCGGGCUNCACCUGGGAACUGCAUUUGUGACUGUAUGACUGGAGUGCG
rnacentral:rRNA from 1 species